rnacentral:rRNA from 1 species
UGGGGAAUAUUGCACAAUGGGCGCAAGCCUGAUGCAGCCAUGCCGCGUGUGUGAAGAAGGCCUUCGGGUUGUAAAGCACUUUCAGCGAGGAGGAAGGUGGUGAACUUAAUACGUUCAUCAAUUGACGUUACUCGCAGAAGAAGCACCGGCUAACUCCGUGCCAGCAGCCGCGGUAAUACGGAGGGUGCAAGCGUUAAUCGGAAUUACUGGGCGUAAAGCGCACGCAGGCGGUUUGUUAAGUCAGAUGUGAAAAUCCCCGGGCUCAACCUGGGAACUGCAUUUGAAACUGGCAAGCUAGAGUCUCGUAGAGGGGGGUAGAAUUCCAGGUGUAGCGGUGAAAUGCGUAGAGAUCUGGAGGAAUACCGGUGGCGAAGGCGGCCCCCCUGGACGAAGACUGACGCUCAGGUGCGAAAGCGUGGGGAGCAAACAGAUUAGAUACCCUGGUAGUCCACGCUGUAAAACGAUGUCGA